CAAUAGCGUAUAUUAAAGUUGUUGCAGUUAAAAAGCUCGUAGUUGGAUUUCUGGUGGGAGCGAUCGGUCUGGCGCUUAGCGCGAGUACUUGCAUCGUCUCCGGCCAUCCUUGGGGAAAGUCUGUCUGGCAUUAAGUUGUCGGGCAGAGGAUCCUCAUCGUUUACUGUGAAAAAAUUAGAGUGUUCAAAGCAGGCUUAUGCCGUUGAAUAUAUUAGCAUGGAAUAAUAAGAUAGGACUUUGGUACUAUUUUGUUGGUUUGCGCACCAAAGUAAUGAUUAAUAGGGACGGUUGGGGGUAUUCGUAUUCCGUUGUCAGAGGUGAAAUUCUUGGAUUUACGGAAGACGAACUACUGCGAAAGCAUUUACCAAGGAUGUUUUCAUUAA
rnacentral:rRNA from 1 species